rnacentral:rRNA from 1 species
AAAGGGUGCGUAGGCGGCCUGUUAAGUCAGGGGUGAAAGACGGUAGCUCAACUAUCGCAGUGCCCUUGAUACUGAUGGGCUUGAAUGGACUAGAGGUAGGCGGAAUGAGACAAGUAGCGGUGAAAUGCAUAGAUAUGUCUCAGAACACCGAUUGCGAAGGCAGCUUACUAUGGUCCUAUUGACGCUGAGGCACGAAAGCGUGGGGAUCAAACAGGAUUAGAUACCCGAGU